rnacentral:rRNA from 1 species
UGCAAGUCGAACGAGGCGGCCCACUGAUUGACGGAAGUUGGAGUGCUUGACACAAAAAUGGAAAUCUUUGACGUGGAUCCUCCGCCUAGUGGCGCAAGGGUGAGUAACACGUGGGUAAUCUGCCUUCGAGUCUGGAAUAACAGUUAGAAAUGAUUGCUAAUACCGGAUGAUAUAAGGAAUGAUACGUCUUUCCUUAUUAAAAGGGGCCUUUAAAGCUUCGCUUGAAGAUGAGCCUGCGGCGUAUUAGAUAGUUGGUGGGGUAAUGGCCUACCAAGUCAACGAUGCGUAGCCGACCUGAGAGGGUGAUCGGCCACACUGGGACUGAGACACGGCCCAGACUCCUACGGGAGACAGCAGUUAGGAAUAUUCGUCAAUGGGGGAAACCCUGAACGAGCAAUGCCGCGUGAAGGAUGACGGUCCUAUGGAUUGUAAACUUCUGUUGUUAGGGAAGAACGAGUUGUAUAGGAAAUGAUACAGCAGUGACGGUACCUUUCAAGAAAGCUCCGGCUAACUACGUGCCAGCCGCAGC